AUGCGCGUCGUGACUCCACGCGCAUCGUGAGUCGGAAGCAUGCCGCCACUGGGUUCCCCCGCGCGCGAAGUCUUCUCCCUCGACCGCGAAGUUCUUCAGGCGACAACGUUCCACACACGAAGGCCUGAGCAUCAGCAGUAACAUCCCAGGCCUGGGAACCAUGCCGCCGGCUGCUGUAGGGUUAAGAUUCAUUGAAAUGGAACCAAGCUAUGCCUGCAGAACUGGCGAUGGAGUUUCUGAGAAGGACCGGCUCCUGGAGACCUGCUGCUCCCGGUGGCUGGCUUUGAUGUACUGAUCACCGCCUUGGAGGACACGGUGGCGAGCGUGACGAGGAAUUGGUACGUCACGGCGGCGGCGCUUUGGCGUGAGAACACGCGCGGAAAGGAACGCUACCGCCUGCUCUCGUGGCAAAAAAAAAAAAAAAAAGUAGUGGGCCUAACUUUAGAUUUUGCCAAGACAAUUAUAGCAAACUCUUGGAGAUUGAUCUUUUUUUUUCCCUUUGCUAUAACAUUUGGGGAGUUACCAAACUAUAAGAUUUAGGAAACAAAAUAUCCCAAACUGUUGUUGGAGUUGCUCCAAAUUAAAGGUUAAACUUUGAAAGGUUGA